rnacentral:rRNA from 1 species
UACGUAGGGUGCGAGCGUUGUCCGGAAUUAUUGGGCGUAAAGGGCUCGUAGGCGGUUUGUCGCGUCGGGAGUGAAAUCCACUGGCUUAACUGGUGGCUUGCUUUCGAUACGGGCAGACUGGAGGUAUGCAGGGGAGAACGGAAUUCCUGGUGUAGCGGUGAAAUGCGCAGAUAUCAGGAGGAACACCGGUGGCGAAGGCGGUUCUCUGGGCAUGUCCUGA